rnacentral:rRNA from 1 species
CCUACGGGAGGCAGCAGUAAGGAAUAUUGGUCAAUGGACGCAAGUCUGAACCAGCCAUGCCGCGUGAAGGAUUAAGGUCCUCUGGAUUGUAAACUUCUUUUAUCUGGGACGAAAAAAGGCGAUUCUUCGUCACUUGACGGUACCAGAUGAAUAAGCACCGGCUAACUCCGUGCCAGCAGCCGCGGUAAUACGGAGGGUGCAAGCGUUAUCCGGAUUCACUGGGUUUAAAGGGUGCGUAGGCGGGCAGGUAAGUCAGUGGUGAAAUCCUAGAGCUUAACUCUAGAACUGCCAUUGAUACUAUCUGUCUUGAAUAUUGUGGAGGUAAGCGGAAUAUGUCAUGUAGCGGUGAAAUGCUUAGAUAUGACAUAGAACACCUAUUGCGAAGGCAGCUUACUACGCAUAUAUUGACGCUGAGCACAAAGACGUGGGAGUACAACAGAUAGAUACCUACGUAGUCACGACCUAACCGACUAGAUACUACGACAUUAGUUGUAUAC